UACAGAGGGUGCGAGCGUUAAUCGGAAUUACUGGGCGUAAAGCGUGCGUAGACGGUUAUGUAAGUCAGGUGUGAAAGCCCCGGGCUCAACCUGGGAAUUGCAUUUGAGACUGCAUAGCUAGGGUGCGGAAGAGGGAAGCGGAAUUUCCGGUGUAGCGGUGAAAUGCGUAGAUAUCGUCUGGAACGCCGAAGGUGAAAACAGCUCGCUGGGGCCGCGCUGACGCUGAGACACGAAAGCCAGGGGAGCGAACGGG
rnacentral:rRNA from 1 species